rnacentral:rRNA from 1 species
AACGAACGCUGGCGGCAUGCCUAACACAUGCAAGUCGAACGAGACCUUCGGGUCUAGUGGCGCACGGGUGCGUAACGCGUGGGAACCUGCCCUUAGGUUCGGAAUAACUCCCCGAAAGGGGUGCUAAUACCGGAUAAUGUCUUCGGACCAAAGAUUUAUCGCCUUUGGAUGGGCCCGCGUUGGAUUAGCUAGUUAGUAGGGUAAAAGCCUACCAAGGCGACGAUCCAUAGCUGGUCUGAGAGGAUGAUCAGCCACACUGGGACUGAGACACGGCCCAGACUCCUACGGGAGGCAGCAGUGGGGAAUAUUGGACAAUGGGCGAAAGCCUGAUCCAGCAAUGCCGCGUGAGUGAUGAAGGCCUUAGGGUUGUAAAGCUCUUUUACCCGAGAUGAUAAUGACAGUACCGGGAGAAUAAGCUCCGGCUAACUCCGUG